GAUGAAGAACGUAGCGAAAUGCGAUACGUAAUGUGAAUUGCAGAAUUCAGUGAAUCAUCGAAUCUUUGAACGCACAUUGCGCCUGCCAGCACUCUGGCAGGCAUGCCUGUUCGAGCGUCAUUUCAACCAUCAAGCCCUAGGCUUGCGUUGAAGCCCUGCGGCUGCCGCAGGCCCCUAAAAGCAGUGGCGGGCUCGCUAUCACACCGAGUGCAGUAGAUUACUCUUCGCUCAGGGCGUGUGGCGGGUUCCAGCCGUGAAACCCCCUACUUCUCAAGGUUGACCUCGGAUCAGGUAGGAAUACCCGCUGAACUUAAGCAUAUCAAUAAGCGGAGGA
rnacentral:misc_RNA from 1 species